GACCGGGGUUCGAUUCCCCG
rnacentral:tRNA from 1 species